AAAAUAAAAUUUGAUUUUAAAAAAAUUUAAUUUUUAAACUAGGAUUAGAUACCCUAUUAUUUUAAGCUUAAUGUUGGUAGUAAGUAAAAUUUAUGAAAUCAUAAAAUUUUGGCGGUAUUUUAAGCUUGUUAGAGGAAUUUGCUCUAUAAUGGAUACAACGCCUAUAUCUUACUUAAUUUUGUAAUCAAAGUCAGUUUGUAUACCACUAUAUUUAAUUAUAUUGAAUAAUUAUAUUUAAGAUUUUUAUAUAAAUAUAUAUUAAGUCAAGGUGCAACAAAUAAUUA
rnacentral:rRNA from 1 species